rnacentral:rRNA from 1 species
AUGCGAGGAUGCAGAGUUUUGAGGAGUGUGGCAGCACAUGUUCACCAGGUAUGCUUCACGCGUCCCAACCCCAAUCAUGGGGAGACACUGUCACUUCAAGAGGAAGAUGUGGAGAACAUUGUGUUUUUACGUGAUUCCAAGCUUGUUGAGGACAAGGAGCUGGGAUCCUUUACGCCACCUGCAUGGAAUGAGCACCAGCCAAGGGCAGUGCAACGCCACAACAAGGGACUAUGCACUAAUUAUAACACUUGGAUCCUCCACCGUCGAAGGUACUAUACGCUGAUCAUCAAGGGCCGCUCGUUAUCUCCUGAUGGUCAGGCGGUUCUGCUAAAGAUCGAGGACAUCAGAAAGGAAGUUGACCUUCUGCUUGAAAAGAUCAGGGUGCUUGAGGGCCGACCCUUUAUGAUUCCUGAUGUCCUUGAAACGGACAUGAAACUCAAGGGUGUCGGGUCCAGCAAGAAGAAGUAA